CUUCGGGUAAUGAGGAUGGCGGACGGGUGAGUAACGCGUAAGGAACUUGCCUCUUGGACUGGGACAACUGUUGGAAACGACAGCUAAUACCGGAUAUUAUGAGAUUCUCGCAUGAGAAACUUAUGAAAGCUAUAUGCGCCAAGAGAGAGCCUUGCGUUCCAUUAGCUAGUUGGUGGGGUAACGGCCCACCAAGGCGACGAUGGAUAGCCGGCCUGAGAGGGUGAACGGCCACAAGGGGACUGAGACACGGCCCUUACUCCUACGGGAGGCAGCAGUGGGGAAUAUUGGACAAUGGGCCACAAGCCUGAUCCAGCAAUUCUGUGUGCACGAUGAAGGUCUUCGGAUUGUAAAGUGCUUUCAGUUGGGAAGAAGAAAGUGACGGUACCAACAGAAGAAGCGACGGCUAAAUACGUGCCAGCAGCCGCGGUAAUACGUAUGUCGCAAGCGUUAUCCGGAUUUAUUGGGCGUAAAGCGCGUCUAGGCGGAAAAAUAAGUCUGAUGUUAAAAUGCGGGGCUCAACUCCGUAUUGCGUUGGAAACUGUUUUUCUAGAGUACUGGAGAGGUGGGGCGGAACUACAAGUGUAGAGGUGAAAAUUCGUAGAUAUUUGUA
rnacentral:rRNA from 1 species